rnacentral:lncRNA from 1 species
UCAGUCAAAGCCUAUGCUUUCUUCUUGCUCCUGCUUCUUUUCUUGCCAUCGUUCCCUAAGUAAUAUGGUAUAACAACUAUGUAUAUAGCAUUUACAUUAUAUUAGAUAUUGAAAUUAAUCUAGAGAUGAUUUAUGGUACAACAACUAUUUACAUAGCAUUUACAUUAUAUUAGGUAUUAUAAGUCAUCUAGAGAUGACUUAAAGUAUAAGAGAGGAUGCAUAUGGCUAUAUUCAAGUAUUAUCUAUCUAUUUAUUAUUUUGAGUUUACCCUAACAGAUUAUGUGUUAUUGAAUCAGUAAGACUGAUGGCCACAAGAAAAGAAUAUUUCUGAAAACAAUAGCAACAGAAAGUUUCAUUUUAUUAUACCAGGGACUAGAGCAUCCUCAGAUUUUGGUAUCUGCAGGAGGUCCUGGAACCAAUCCCCCAUAAAUACCAAGGGAUGAUUAUGGUUAAUCUUAGUAUCCACUUAAUGUAUGUAUUUUGUAAAUUAUAAUAGCCUGUUUUAUUUUGUUUUAACUUCUUCGUGGUUGCUAUGCCUUGGCCAACACCUGCGAUAAC